rnacentral:rRNA from 1 species
UCGCCUUCAUGAAGCCGGAAUUGCUAGUAAUGGCAGGUCAGCAUACUGCCGUGAAUACGUUCCCGGGGCCCUUGUACACACCGCCCCGUCACACCAUGAGAGUUGGGGAUACCCGAAGCCUGUGAGCUAACUUAUAGAGGCAGCAGUCGAAGGUAGAAUCAAUGAUUGGGGUGAAGUCGUAACAAGGUAUC